rnacentral:rRNA from 1 species
GUCCACGCCGUAAACGAUGGAUACUAGCUGUUGGAGGUAUCGACCCCUUCAGUAGCGAAGCUAACGCGUUAAGUAUCCCGCCUGUGGAGUACGGUCGCAAGACUAAAACAUAAAAGGAAUUGACGGGGACCCGCACAAGCGGUGGAUCAUGUUCUUUAAUUCGAUGAUAAACGAUAAACCUUACCAGGGCUUGACAUCCCGAGAAUUAAUCCGAAAGGAUUGAGUGCUUUUAGAACUCGGUGACAGAUCUUGCAUGGCCGUCGU